GGCGCUGCGCGGUCGUCGAUCGGCUCCGCACGGCUGCGUCUCGGCUCAGCUCGGCUCGGCAGGCACCCGACACCGGUCCGCGCGCUGCGGGUCGCGUCCCACUACUCUCCGGCACACGGCUUCCGCUGCGGCAGGAGCGCAGCUACACGUCUCCUCAAAGAGAUUUCUCGUAACUGGUGCUGGUGUCGUACAACAAUAACUGGGAAAACAUUAGUAACGUGUCAUGGCACGACCUUCGUACUUUCGGCGUUUGAUAGCAGCAACUAAGAG